UACGUAGGGUGCAAGCGUUAUCCGGAUUUACUGGGUUUAAAGGGUGCGCAGGCGGAUAUGUAAGUCAGUUGUGAAAUCUCCGGGCUUAACCCGGAAACUGCCGUUGAUACUAUAUAUCUUGAAUGCUGUGGAGGUAAGCAGAAUAUGUCAUGUAGCGGUGAAAUGCUUAGAGAUGACAUAGAAUACCUAUUGCGAAGGCAGCUUACUACGCAGAUAUUGACGCUCAUGCACGAAAGCGUGGGGAUCAAACAGG
rnacentral:rRNA from 1 species